GGGGUGCUAGCUUGCUAGAACCUACACACAGGUGCUGCACGGCUGUCGUCAGCUCGUGUCGUGAGAUGUUGGGUUAAGUCCCGCAACGAGCGCAACCCUCGUCGUUAGUUGCUAACAGUUUGGCUGAGCACUCUAACGAGACUGCCUUCGUAAGGAGGAGGAAGGUGAGGACGACGUCAAGUCAUCAUGGCCCUUACGGCCAGGGCUACACACGUGCUACAAUGGGGCGUACAAAGAGCUGCAAUACCGCGAGGUGGAGCCAAUCUCUUAAAGCGUCUCUCAGUUCGGAUUGUAGGCUGCAACUCGCCCACAUGAAGUCGGAAUCGCUAGUAAUCGCGGAUCAGCACGCCGCGGUGAAUACGUUCCCGGGCCUU
rnacentral:rRNA from 1 species